CCGGGCGUAGCUCAGCCAGGUAGAGCAUCUGCUUUGGGAGCAGAGGGUCGCACGUUCAACUCGUGUCACCCGGACCA
rnacentral:tRNA from 1 species